rnacentral:rRNA from 1 species
GACGAACGCUGGCGGCGUGCUUAACACAUGCAAGUCGAACGGAAAGGCCCUGGCUUGGUGGGGUGCUCGAGUGGCGAACGGGUGAGUAACACGUGAGUAACCUGCCCUUGACUGGGGGAUAACCUCAGGAAACUGGGGCUAAUACCCGUUAGGAGCUCGUGCUGAAUGGGGGGGGUUGGAAAGCUCCGGCGGUUGGGGAGGGAGUUGCGGGUUAUCAGCUUGGUGGGGGGGUAGUGGAGUACCAAGGCCUUGACGGGUAGGCGGCAUGAGAGGGUGACGGGCCGGAUUAGGACUGUGAGACGGGCAAGAGUCCUACGUGAGGCAGCAUGGGGGAAUGUUUCACACUGGACGGACGCGUGUUACAACGACCCUGGGUGCGGAAUGAACGCCUGUGGGUAAAGAACCGCUUUCGCCUGUGACAGACCGUGGGUGACGGUAAUGGGUAAAGAAGCACCGGCUAACUACGUG